GACGAACGCUGGCGGCGUGCUUAACACAUGCAAGUCGAGCGGAAAGGCCCUUUCGGGGGUACUCGAGCGGCGAACGGGUGCGUAACACGUGAGUAAUCUGCCCUUCACUCUGGGAUAGCCACCGGAAACGGUGAUUAAUACCGGAUAUGACACGCGACCGCAUGGUCUGUGUGUGGCAACUUUUUGGGUGGGGGAUGUGCUCGCGGCCUAUCAGCUUGUUGGUGGGGUAAUGGCCUACCAAGGCUUCGACGGGUAGCCGGCCUGAGAGGGUGAACAGCGACACUGGGACUGGGAGAAGGCCCAGACGCCUACGGGAGGCAGCGGUGGGGAAUAUUGGACAAUGGGCGGAAGCCUGAUCCAGCAACGCCGCGUGAGGGAUGACGGCCUUCGGGUUGUGAACCUCUUUCAGUACCGACGAAGCGAAAGUGACGGUAGGUACAGAAGAAGGACCGGCCAACUACGUGCCAGCCGCCGCAGUAAGAC
rnacentral:rRNA from 1 species